rnacentral:rRNA from 1 species
GACGAACGCUGGCGGCGUGCCUAACACAUGCAAGUCGAACGGAAAGGCCCUGCUUUUGUGGGGUGCUCGAGUGGCGAACGGGUGAGUAACACGUGAGUAACCUGCCCUUGACUUUGGGAUAACUUCAGGAAACUGGGGCUAAUACCGGAUAGGAGCUCCUGCUGCAUGGUGGGGGUUGGAAAGUUUCGGCGGUUGGGGAUGGACUCGCGGCUUAUCAGCUUGUUGGUGGGGUAGUGGCUUACCAAGGCUUUGACGGGUAGCCGGCCUGAGAGGGUGACCGGCGACAUUGGGACUGAGGUACGGACCAGACUCCUACGGGAGGCAGCAGGGGGGAAUAUUGCACAAUGGGCGGAAGCCUGAUGCAGCAACGCCGCGUGCGGGAUGACGGCCUUCGGGUUGUAAACCGCUUUCGCCUGUAACGAAGCGGGAGUGACGGUAAUGGGUAAAGAAGCACCGGCUAACUACGUG